AGAGCAUUGACCUGCUGAGUGGACUAAAGAUGGGGGAGCAAGGUGGUUGGCUGGAAGCUAACAGAGGAGACUGAGCAGCCAUAUUGGAUUCCCAGACCCAGAGUGGUGCAGCCAAGGGCCCAGGGGACAUCAUUGAGCAGGCCAGGACCAGAGGCGACAUAGUGGAGGUCAAUGGAUGGGACAGGGUCCUCAACUCUGUGCUGGGAAACAGAGAGUCGAACACAAAACAACAACCAAACAGUCUCCAUGAUAACAGUCUGGUUGAGACCAGGGCGAGGCGUAGAUUUGGUCUGCAAGGACGGGGAGGUGUCUGUACGCGGCUCGACAGAACAGACACAGACUCUGCUAGUGAUGCUCCGUCCUGCUCCUAUAGUUGUGAUUCAGAGAGACUGAUGGUGCCUCAGGUUAACUCCCCUAACAGGUGCUGCCUUCAGCCUGCCUUCUAUAGGAUCUAUCAACUGGAACAUGGACCCUGCGACAACAGACACUCCCUGGCCUUCAUGCUCCUCACAAUCUCCUAAUGUUAAACCAGACCUCAGACAAUGCCAGUGCCUCAACACUAAAUGGCUACACAAGCCCAUUGACAAAUGACAGUGGUAGUGAUGCUAUCAGCAGAUCCGGUGGUAAAGAGAAGUGCUUCCCAUGUUCGAUUCUGUGGGAAAGUCUUCAGUUUCUGCAAACAGAUGGAGAUCCACUAGAGGAUGCACACGGGGGAUAAACAGUUUGGCUGCCCCUUGUGUGAGAAGAUAUUCUCCCACCAGAACCAGCUGAAAUGCACCUGAAGGUCCACACGGGAGAAAGGCUGUUCGUCUGUACGCACUGCGGGAAGAGGUUCUCAGAGAGGAGCUUCCUCAGGAUACACCAGCAGAAAAUGCACACGGUCCAUGUAUAGAGUAUUGUAAUGUAGUACUAGUUAGUUUGUAGUUCAUUCGGUUGGUUUUUGAUGUAUAGGGAACUGGAUGAGGUGAACUUAAGAAAUUUAGAUACUGGUGUUUUAUAGUGAGAAGGAUUGUGCCUUAAUUCAUGUUUACUUGAAAUGAAGGUGUGUAAUGUAAUGUUUAACCUUUUCCAAACAAUUCAAAAAUGUAUUUGAUCAAAGCGAGGGUAUCAGAUUUACAGAAAAUGUUAAGUGUUAACAUAGUGAGAAGUUAUUCUACUUGACAUGUAUCGUUUUGUGCAAUAAAAGUACUGUACUUCAAAUGAUGUUAGUGUAUGACCAUUUUGUUGAAAUAAAAUACAAAAUUGACUGUG